rnacentral:rRNA from 1 species
AUUGAACGCUGGCGGCAGGCCUAACACAUGCAAGUCGAACGGUAACAGGAAACAGCUUGCUGUUUCGCUGACGAGUGGCGGACGGGUGAGUAAUGUCUGGGAAACUGCCUGAUGGAGGGGGAUAACUACUGGAAACGGUAGCUAAUACCGCAUAACGUCGCAAGACCAAAGAGGGGGACCUUCGGGCCUCUUGCCAUCGGAGGUGCCCAGAUGGGAUUAGCUAGUAGGUGGGGUAACGGCUCACCUAGGCGACGAUCCCUAGCUGGUCUGAGAGGAUGACCAGCCACACUGGAACUGAGACACGGUCCAGACUCCUACGGGAGGCAGCAGUGGGGAAUAUUGCACAAUGGGCGAAAGCCUGAUGCAGCCAUGCCGCGUGUAUGAAGAAGGCCUUCGGGUUGUAAAGUACUUUCAGCGGGGAGGAAGGGAGUAAAGUUAAUACCUUUGCUCAUUGACGUUACCCGCAGAAGAAGCACCGGCUAACUCCGUGCCAGCAGCCGCCGUAA